CCUGAGUGGACGCCUCGCGAUGCACGCGCGCGCCCUGCUCCCUAGCCCUCCCGCCCGCGGGGCCGGCCCUUCCCCAGCGUCGGUGAGCAGAAGGACCGUGGGGCCUGGAGCCGCGCUUGCUGAAGAGGGAUGUAGAAUACCGGAAAGAAAUAAGUUCUUGCACUUUAUGAAUCUAUUUUUAAAAUAAAAAAAAUUUAAAUAUC